rnacentral:tRNA from 1 species
GGACCUUUAGCUCAGUUGGUUAGAGCAGACGGCUCAUAACCGUCCGGUCGUAGGUUCGAGUCCUGCAAGGUCCA